rnacentral:rRNA from 1 species
ACCUACGGGAGGCAGCAGUCGAGAAUUUUUCACAAUGGGCGAAAGCCUGAUGGAGCGACGCCGCGUGGGGGAUGAAUGGCUUCGGCCCGUAAACCCCUGUCAUUCGCGAUCAACCCUUAUUAUUUAAAAGAUGAUGAGCUGAUAGUAGCGGAAGAGGAAGGGACGGCUAACUCUGUGCCAGCAGCCGCGGUAAUACAGAGGUCCCGAGCGUUGUUCGGAUUCACUGGGCGUAAAGGGUGCGUAGGUGGUGGGGUAAGUCGGAUGUGAAAUCUCCAAGCUCAACUUGGAAAUGGCAUUGGAAACUGCCCUGCUAGAGGAUCGGAGGGGGGACUGGAAUACUUGGUGUAGCAGUGAAAUGCGUAGAUAUCAAGUGGAACACCAGUGGCGAAGGCGAGUCCCUGGACGAUACCUGACACUGAGGCACGAAAGCUAGGGGAGCAAACAGGAUUAGAUACCCCGGU